GACGAACGCUGGCGGUGUGCUUAACACAUGCAAGUCGAACGGUAAGGCCCUUUCGGGGGUCCACGAGUGGCGCACGGGUGAGUAACACGUGAGUAACCUGCCCUCAUCUCUGGGAUAACAGUCGGAAACGGUUGCUAAUACUGGAUAUGAGCUUGCAAGGCAUCUUGUGGGUUGGAAAGAUUUUUUGGUUGGGGGUGGACUCGCGGCCUAUCAGCUUGUUGGUGGGGGAGUGGCUCACCAAGGCUUCGACGGGGAGCCGGCCUGAGAGGGCGACCGGCCACAUUGGGACUGAGAUACGGCCCAAACGCCUACGGGAGGCAGCAGUGGGGAAUAUUGCACAAGGGACGGAAGUCUGAUGCAGCAACGCCGCGGGCGGGAUGACGGCCUUCGGGUUGGAAACCGCGUUCAAUUGUGACGAAGCUUUUUGUGACGGUAGCAGUAGAAGAAGCACCGGCUAACUACGUG
rnacentral:rRNA from 1 species